rnacentral:rRNA from 1 species
AUGUUCCCCAUGUUCCAGGAGCUUGCACCACAUGACCCACACAACAAGUGUGGUCACCACUAUGCGAUCUGUCUUGACCUGAAGAACCAACGUUUUGAGGUGCUUGAUUCAAUCCGUUCGGAAGCUGAUGCAGACCUUACUACGCAUGCCGAAUUCUUCAUUAAAAACCUCAAAGAGUCAUGGAACCGUCACUAUGAACAUUCAAAGGUCCAGAUCAGGCAUUUCCCGACUGAGUAUGUGGCGACUGCGAAGCAAGGGAACACACGGACUGUGGCUUUCACGUGCUGGAAUACUUUGCAAAGUGGGAAGGCAGAAUUGUCCCCCUAUCACAGCUGCAACGGUCGUUGA